CGAAAGAAAGAGAAAGCAUGAAAAUCCUCAACCGAAAAGUCUGAUGCAUGAAGUGUAACCUCAUUCUGAUCAACGUUUAAGGACUUUCAGUUUAACAGGUUUAUAUUUAGUAGUGCUUAUGCUAUAUGUUUUUUGUGCUUGUAUUUGUUUUAGUUUUUCAUCUCAUUUAUACUUUUGGUGCAUGUAUUUGUUUUAACUUUGAUCAC
rnacentral:lncRNA from 1 species